CCUGCAGACCAUAGCCGAGCGUCGCCCACAAGACGGGCAGCGGCGAGGCGACCAGAAUUGACCAGAACACCGUUCGCAGCGUCAGCGAGAAGUGAUCCUGGGUGACUUUCCCGACGCGCGAGGCCGAGCGCUCAAGGAACCGGUUGAAGUGUUGACGUGAAUAGAGGCUAAACCCGACCAGCGCCAGCGCGCCGAAUAACGGCAGUAGCGUCUCUUUGCUGGUCAGCAUCAUGAUGCUGGCUUUACCUAACUGAUUAAACGUAUCUAAUGAGAUAAGCCGGCGUAAAUCCUGAACCAAAUCAACAGGCCAGGAGAGCGAUAGCGGGCUAACGU
rnacentral:misc_RNA from 1 species